rnacentral:miRNA from 1 species
GCUAACACAUUCCUGCCAAUCUCCGGCAGACCCUCCCUCCCAGACCCUCCUAAUUCCUGGACAGCAUCCAUGUUGAAGGCAGCUUCAACAUGGAUGCUGUCCAGGAAUUAGGAGGGUCUGGGAGGGAGGGUCUGCCGGAGAUUGGCAGGGAUGUGUUAG